CGGGGGGAGCAAGCGUUGUUCGGAUUUACUGGGCGUAAAGGGCGCGUAGGCGGCCACCGCAAGUCGACUGUGAAAUCUCCGGGCUUAACCCGGAAAGGUCAGCCGAUACUGCGGGGCUAGAGUGCAGAAGGGGCAACUGGAAUUCUCGGUGUAGCGGUGAAAUGCGUAGAUAUCGAGAGGAACACCUGCGGCGAAGGCGGGUUGCUGGGCUGACACUGACGCUGAUGCGCGAAAGCUAGGGGGAGCGAACGGGAUUAGAUACCCCGGUAGUCCUAGCCUUAAACGAUGAAUGCUUGGUGUCUGGGGUUUUAUAGUCCCCGGGUGCCGUCGCUAACGCUUUAAGCAUUCCGCCUGGGGGAGUACGGUCGCAAGACUG
rnacentral:rRNA from 1 species